AUUGAACGCUGGCGGAAUGCUUUACACAUGCAAGUCGAGCGGCAGCGCGGCCUUCGGGCUGGCGGCGAGCGGCGAACGGGUGAGUAAUGCAUCGGAACAUGCCCAGUCGCGGGGGAUAACACUUCGAAAGAAGUGCUAAUACCGCAUACGUCCUGAGGGGGAAAGCGGGGGAUCGCAAGACCUCGCGCGAUUGGAGUGGCCGAUGUCCGAUUAGCUAGUUGGUGGGGUAAAGGCCUACCAAGGCGACGAUCGGUAGCUGGUCUGAGAGGAUGAUCAGCCACACUGGAACUGAGACACGGCCCAGACUCCUACGGGAGGCAGCAGUGGGGAAUUUUGGACAAUGGGGGCAAGCCUGAUCCAGCCAAGCCGCGUGAGUGAAGAAGGCCUUCGGGUUGUAAAGCUCUUUUGGCAGGAACGAAACGGUGGGCUCUAACAUAGUCCGCUAAUGACGGUACCUGAAGAAGAAGCACCGGCUAACUACGUG
rnacentral:rRNA from 1 species